rnacentral:pre_miRNA from 1 species
ACCCUAUCAAUAUUGCCUCUGCUUUUAUUCUGGGAUCGAGUAGUGCAAUAUUGCUUAUAGGGUCU